CGCUAUUUGGGGAGUUAUCUGGUGCGUCUAUUGUAUCCAUGUGGACUGUUGAUUUGUUACAGAAUACUAAAUCAACUGUCAACGCCGAUUUGGGAAACUUUAUUUUGGGCAUCACGAGAAUCAUUGCCGGCCUCUUCGGAGGUUUCCUUAUUUUCCAUACUGGAAGAAGGCCUUUGGCGAUUAGUUCAGCUUUAGGCGCUGGGGUGGUGUACAUAGCG